UCCUGUCGACGCUAGGGUUUUUCCUCCCACUCAAUGGAGAAAUCCAUCAGAUAAUCCAUUCGAAAAUCCAUUUCCUCUCGAUUCAUCCUUGUUUAUCCCAUAUUCACAAGAAAUCAAGAAUCACAGCUAUUAUCUUCACGUAUCUACAAACCGAUUGGACUUUAAAAGAGGAUACAAUCUUUCGGAGUGGAUCAUUUGAAGUCUUGACCGAAAACGGUGUGGCACCAUCUGAUGGAUGAUUUGAAAUAUUCAUUGAGAUUGGUGUUAUAAUUUCAUACGUGGAAAAAAUCAUUCCUCUUUUAUUCUAAAAUAUCCAUGAUUUCAAGGUUGAUAUGUGGAAUUCUCAAUUUCUGAUAGAUUGGCAUAAGCUCGUUUGG